rnacentral:lncRNA from 1 species
GGCUAUUUAAGUGAAAAGCACAAGAUUGAAAUCUUAAUGAUGACGCGGUAUGGAGAUAGAACAAGAACCCAAAAUGAAGUUUUGCAUUUAUUCAGACAGAAGUAUCCUGAUUUACCUCCCAUAUCUCAAAGUACUAUAAGUAAGAUUGAAAAACAGUUUCGGGAAAAUGGUCACGUAAGAACAAUAACUAGUUCUCGUCGAUCUGCGCUUAAUGAAGACCCCAAAAUCAAUGUUUUAUUAGCCAAUGAAGAAAGUCGUAAUAUUCCCACUAAGCAGGUACCGCGCGAAUUGGAAGUGAGCCAGUCUUCAGUAGAACUCAAUGAGGAGGAUGCAGAUAGAAGAAUUAAAUUUUGUGAACAAUUUAUGGAAUCAAUGCAGAAUAAUAAUCUUAUCACAGAAAACAUUCUCUUUUCCGGUGAGUCGACAUUUAUGCUGCACAGAGAAGUAAAUCGUCAAAAUUGCCGUUAUUGGGCACAAGAAAAUCCAUGUUGGAUGAGGCAAGGCCACACUCAGAAAAAGUAAAUGUUUUUGCAGAAAUUCUAGAUCAGCAAGUUACAGGCCCAAUUUUCUUCAAAGAAAAUUUAAAUGGAGCAAGAAGCUGAUAUGCCGAAUAGAAACAUCUGGCCUUCCCAUUUUACGAGAACUGCUUGAAACUAUCUGGAUACUAUUUUUCCAGGAAGAUGGAUUGGCAGGAGAGGACCUUUUGAAUGGCCACCAAGAUCGCCCGAUUUGAUUCCGCUGGAUUUCUUCCUAUGGGGAUAUUUGAAAUCCAAAGUUUAUGUGACCAUGCUGGCAAAUAUUGAGGAGUUGAAAACUUGAAUAAGGCAAGAGUAUCGAAACAUUUCUCUAGAAUGCAUAUGAAACGUUAAAAAUUAAUUUGUAGUACCUUUAGGGCAUUGCCAAAUAGUAAAUGGUUUACAUUUUGAACACUUAUUAAAGAAAAAGAUUUAAAAGAACCCUCUUUAAGUUUAUGAAAUACAUUUUCUUUAACGCCCUGUAUCUUAAAAACAAUUGAAUAAAGGUAUUUAUUUAU